UACGGGGGGGGCAAGCGUUGUUCGGAAUUACUGGGCGUAAAGGGCUCGUAGGUGGCCAACUAAGUCAGACGUGAAAUCCCUCGGCUUAACCGGGGAACUGCGUGUGAUACUGGAUGGCUUGAAUUCGGGAGAGGGAUGCGGAAUUCCAGGUGUAGCGGUGAAAUGCAUAGAUAUCUGGAGGAACACUGGUGGCGAAGGCGGCAUCCUGGACCGACAUUGACGCUGAGGCGCGAAAGCUAGGGGAGCAAACGGG
rnacentral:rRNA from 1 species